GAGUUUGAUCCUGGCUCAGAAUCAACGCUGGCGGCGUGCCUAACACAUGCAAGUCGAACGAGAAAGUGGAGCAAUCCAUGAGUAAAGUGGCGUACGGGUGAGUAACACGUGACUAACCUACCCUUGAGUGGGGGAUAACCUCGGGAAACCGAGGCUAAUACCGCAUAAUAUCGAAAGAUCAAAGGAGUAAUCCCGCUUUUGGAGGGGGUCGCGGCUGAUUAGCUAGUUGGUAGGGUAAUGGCCUACCAAGGCGAAGAUCGGUAUCCGGCCUGAGAGGGCGCACGGACACACUGGAACUGAAACACGGUCCAGACUCCUACGGGAGGCAGCAGUGGGGAAUUUUGCGCAAUGGGGGAAACCCUGACGCAGCAACGCCGCGUGGAGGAUGAAGCCCCUUGGGGCGUAAACUCCUUUCGACUGGGAAGAUUAUGACGGUACCAGUGGAAGAAGCACCGGCUAACUCUGUGCCAGCAGCCGCGGUAAUACAGAGGGUGCGAGCGUUGUUCGGAAUUAUUGGGCGUAAAGGGCGCGUAGGCGGUAUGGUAAGUCACCUGUGAAACCUCUGGGCUUAACUCAGAGCCUGCAGGCGAAACUGCCAUGCUGGAGGGUGGGAGAGGUGCGUGGAAUUCCCGGU
rnacentral:rRNA from 1 species